GUUUGAAUACAAAAAAUCAGAAAUACUGAAAAUAUCUCAGCGGGUUUUUAAUAUAAACUUUGCCGGAUGAUGAGCCAAAUGUCGGUUAGCUAACCUCGCUAGCAUCAGCAUUUCCUGUGGUUGUUUCACGGAGGGCUGGCAGCUGAAACUACAAGAACAAACAGUCAUCACAGCCCACAGGGGGCGCUGUUUCCAUGAAUUACCGUACACAUUUAAAAGCUGCUGUCAGUUUGUAUCGCAGUCCUGCUUUCAUUCAAGAUACAAGAUACAAGAUGCAAGAUGCAAGAUGCAAGAUACAAGACAGGUUUAUUUGUCACACACACAAUCAUACACGGUACAAUGUGCAGUGAAAUUAUUUUUGUCCCUGCUACCAAAAAAUAGGUAAGUAAAAUAGAAUGAGUAAAAUUAAAUAUUAUAAAAUGGAAACCUUACUACAGGAUGGCUUAAAAAGUUGAAAAUAAUGCUAAAAAUGAUCAUAUAAAAAGUGUUGUGAUAUACAGUACCUCCUUAGAUUUUAGAGUGAUAUUAUAUUGUUAAUUUUUAAUCAGCCUCUCACAAAUCCAGCCGCCCUGUUAAAAUAUUGGAAAUCCCUGAACUUAACCAUACAGGAGGACUACGACUACAUCAGCUUUACUUCCCUAAAACGAAGCAUGAAGUAAAUGAUAAAACAAAUCCAUUUAAAGCAGUGUUUCUCAAACUGAUCCAGCCUCCUUUCAUAGCAAAACGAAAAAGUCCAACACAAUAAAUUAGUGUAUUGUUGACAACCACUGACUGCACGCUGGGUAAAGCCAUAUUGGCAGGUAUUUUAAUGAAAUAACAUUAAAACAUGAGCUGCAUCUGUCUUUUCACUUUUUCGAAUGUUGUGCCACUUUCCAGCUGCACCGUCCAGUUCAAGUCUUAUCUCUUCUGUCUGUUUUAUGGCAAAUGUUUUCACUAAGUUUCUCUUUAAGCAAACAACAGACAGCCCUGGUGCCAAACUGUUUCUGAGAAACCAUGUGACACAAAGUCUCCCACCUCCCCCACCUGUCACUGACGGUGACUAGAAGGUCAUUAAACCUCAGCUUUGAAAAUGAUUUAAAAACAAGCCUGGAGUCAGUGAAGAUCAUUUCUCAACACUGGAAUCUGCGAAAAGAGAUGAAAGUGAAGAAAUGUUUCAGUGCGUCGAAACGCAAAUGAGCUGAAUAAGUUUUACUGAAGCGUCAAUACUCUGGAUAUUUGCUCAACAGAUAUUAAUGUAUAAGUAUUAAAGUAUAAAUAAUAUCUUAGUGUAGUCCUUGUUGUGGUUAAAAUGUAACAUUAGAUAUCAAGCAUCAGGAAAACUGCAAUCAAAAUCAUUUAUCUGGCUGGUGUCGCUCCCCUGCAACCAUAGAGACACCAUGUUCUGUUACGUCUUCAUAUCUGAGGUCUCGAAUAUUCAAUUUGAAUAUUAUUUGAAUUUUGUCACGUCAUACUAUUUCAAGGUUCACACCAACACGACAUCAGAGCUUUCCUGUUUAGACAUGAUACAGCCAAGGUUUCCCAAGGCCUUAAAGACUCUAUAAACUGGGUCCCAAUUCUCCCACCAAAUCAUUCCAGCAGCUGACAUCAAGAGGUUUGGUGAGUCCUCGUGCCCUUUAUGGAAGCAUUUGAUAUUUUAAUGUGACCUUAAGAGGACAACUUGAAAAAUUUCCCCAGAAAUGGAAGGUAACUUCAUAAAUAUGUUGCCAGCAUAUCAUCAGAAUAACUGUGAGCUGCUGCUGACUAUACUCUUUGUCGAAGUUAUCUGUGUAGCUACGGUUAGCUUGGUUAGCCGUGGAGCUAGUGGCCCCUCUAGCUUGGAUUGUGAACCCUGAUCACAGGUGGAGUUACCACAGGAGUGAACCCAUCUGAACACCAGGCUUGGAUCAGACAUAGCCUUAGAGGCCAGCCAGUUUGAGGACAGGGGACACGGUACCAAAGUGAUCUACAGCAUCUUAGACAAGGACUAUGACUGCCUUGACAAGAGGAUAAAGCAGGGACAGGGAGAAUAUUUAUUUGGACCAAACUAGAAAUGAUUGUGAUUGAUUGUGUGAUUAUGAGACAUUUCAGCUCAUCUUAGCUUAGUAAAACAGAGAAACUUUAGCUCAGAAGGGGUACAGUCGUAUUUUUCUGUUUAGUAAGGAAAAUAGGUCAGGACUGAACUACGGACCAGAACCCAAACACACGACUCUCAAAGUUUCAAAAUAAAGUCUAAAAACACACACAAAACUAAGAAACAAAAACUCUCCAGACUGAAGCUUGGCUAAGAAAACCACCAGAACAAAAUAACAAGACCUGGUAACAUCUGACACAAGGGACAAGACCAACUGGCACAGGACAAAGGGAG